UACGGGGGGGGGCAAGCGUUUGUUCGGAAUUACUGGGCGUAAAGGGCUCGUGGGCGCCAACUAAGUCGGAUGUGAAAUCCCUGGGCUCAACCCAGGAACUGCGUCCGAUACUGGUUGGCUUGAAUCCGGGAGAGGGACGUGGAAUUCCAGGUGUAGCGGUGAAAUGCGUAGAUAUCUGGAGGAACACCGGUGGCGAAGGCGACGUCCUGGACCGGCAUUGACGCUGAGGCGCGAAAGCCAGGGGAGCAAACGGG
rnacentral:rRNA from 1 species